AUUGAACGCUGGCGGCAUGCCUUACACAUGCAAGUCGAACGGCAGCGGACCUUCGGGUGCCGGCGAGUGGCGAACGGGUGAGUAAUAUAUCGGAACGUACCUUUCAGUGGGGGAUAACGGUAGCGAAAGUUACGCUAAUACCGCAUAUUCUGUGAGCAGGAAAGCAGGGGAUCGCAAGACCUUGCGCUGAUUGAGCGGCCGAUAUCAGAUUAGCUAGUUGGUGAGGUAAAGGCUCACCAAGGCGACGAUCUGUAGCGGGUCUGAGAGGAUGAUCCGCCACACUGGAACUGAGACACGGUCCAGACUCCUACGGGAGGCAGCAGUGGGGAAUUUUGGGACAAUGGGCGCAAGCCUGAUCCAGCCAUGCCGCGUGAGUGAAGAAGGCCUCGG
rnacentral:rRNA from 1 species